UACGUAGGGAGCAAGCGUUGUCCGGAAUCAUUGGGCGUAAAGCGCGCGUAGGUGGCCACAUAAGUCCGUUGUGAAAGUCAAAGGCUCAACCUUUGAAAGCCGAUGGAUACUGUGUGGCUAGAGUACGGAAGAGGCGAGUGGAAUUCCUGGUGUAGCGGUGGAAUGCGCAGAUAUCAGGAGGAACACCAAUAGCGAAGGCAGCUCGCUGGGACGUUACUGACGCUGAGACGCGAAAGCGUGGGGAGCAAACAGG
rnacentral:rRNA from 1 species